rnacentral:rRNA from 1 species
UGGCGCACGGGNUGAGNUAACACGCUGNAAUNAUCUACCUCCGAGNUGGGGAAUAACUUAGGGAAACCUGAGCUAAUACCGCAUAACACUUACGAGUCAAAGCAGCAAUGCNGCUUGGAGAGGAGUUCGCGGCAGAUUAGUUAGUUGGCGGGGUAAUGGCCCACCAAGGCGAUGAUCUGUAUCCGAGCCUGAGAGGGCGCACGGACACANCUGGAANCUGAAACACGGNUCCAGACUCCUANCGGGAGGCANGCAGNUGGGGAAUUUUGCGCAAUGGGGGAAACCCUGANCGCAGCAANCGCCGCGUGGAGGAUGAAAUCCCCUUGGGAUNGUAAACUCCUUUCGAUCCGGACGAUUAUGACGGUACCGGAAGAA